CAUGCCUCUGGAUUUUUUACAUCCUGUUUGUCUUCACCUAUAUCUCAUGGCAACUCACCUGGAGAACCUGGUGACAUUUUGCAUACUUUGGACUAGUGAAAUCUCUGGGAAUGACUCUAGUUUAUCUGCAGGCAGGAUGUACUUGGAAGCUUAAUGGGCCCCUAGACUAACUGAAAAAUAAAGGAAGGAACAAAUGUCAAACUAAUGAGUGAAAUUAGGAAAAACAACUGGAACAAUAAAACAAGAUGUAAG